rnacentral:rRNA from 1 species
GACGAACGCUGGCGGCGUGCUUAACACAUGCAAGUCGAACGGGUCUGCCCUGUUUUUUGCGGGGUGGGUCAGUGGCGAACGGGUGAGUAACACGUGAGUAACCUGCCCCUCACUUCUGGAUAACCGCUUGAAAGGGUGGCUAAUACGGGGUGUUCUGGCUGUGCCGCAUGGUGUGGCUGGGAAAGAUUCACUUUUGUGGUGUUUUGGUGGGGGAUGGGCUCGCGGCCUAUCAGCUUGUUGGUGGGGUGAUGGCCUGCCAAGGCUUUGACGGGUAGCCGGCCUGAGGGGGUGGGCGGUCACGCGGGGGCUGAGAUCCGGCCCCGACUCCUGCGGGAGGCAGCAGUGGGGGGUAUUGCACAAUGGGCGGAAGCCUGAUGCAGCGACGUCGCGUGAGGGAUGGAGGCCUUCGGGUUGUGAACCUCUUUCGCCGGUGAAGAAGGUCCUGCUCUUUGUGGUGGGGUUGACGGUAGCCGGGUUAUGAAGCGCCGGCUAACUACGUG